UGCUGUGCUAGCAAUCAGCGAGACUCCGUGGGCGUAGGACCCUCCGCGCCAGGUGCGGGAUAUAAUCUUGUGGCGCGCCGUUUUUUAAGCCGGUCUGAAAAGCGCAAUAUUUGGGUGGGAGUGACCCAAUUUUCCAGGUGCGUCCGUCACCCCUUUCUUUGACUGGGAAAGGGAACUCCCCGACCCCUUGUGCUUCCCAAGUGAGGCAAUGCCUCGCCCUGCUUAGGCUCGCGCACGGUGCGCGCACCCACUGACCUGCGCCCACUGUCUGGCGCUCCCUAGUGAGAUGAACCCAGUACAUCAGAUGGAAAUGCAGAAAUCACCCGUCUUCUGCAUCACUCACGCUGGGAGCUGUAGACCGGAGCUGUUCCUAUUCGGCCAUCUUGGCUCCUCCCAACCUGCAUAAGACCAGCAUUAUAGGCACGAGGAGAUAAACGAGAAGAGGUAGAAGCAAAGCCUCUAUCAAGAAAGCAACAUUUUCUGGAAAUCACUCAGAUCCUAGUUGGAUGUUUUCUGAUUACUCAUCCUUGAAAAAGGUAAGUUUUUGUUUUGUUGUUAUUGUUUUUCAAAAGGAGCUAUUUGCAGAAGCUCCGUGUUAGGAAGAGGCCAGAGUCUUGUUUCAGGAUAAUGGGAUGAUCCAGAAUUUUGCCUGUGAACUUUGUUACCUUUUAUUUCUAACUUGCUGAUGUGGCCAUAGGAUUAUUGACAGUACAUAGUGUAUUUCCACUCCAUGGAGAGACUAGAUGUUGGGAGCAAACAUUAUUUCAUUGUGGGCUUUCUGAUUCGGCUGUUCCCUCUGCUUUUCAAAACCAGACCAUGUCAAGAAUUCCAGCUUUCCGUGUGGGCACCCUACGUCCACUCUCAGAAACAAAGAAUUAGACUUUGC
rnacentral:lncRNA from 1 species